rnacentral:rRNA from 1 species
AACGUAGGACGCAAGCGUUAUCCGGAGUUACUGGGCGUAAAGGGCGUGUAGGCGGCUUUUCAAGUUCGUCGUGAAAGCUCCCGGCUAAACCGGGGAGGGUCGAGGGAGACUGAGAAGCUAGAGGGCGGUAGAGGGACAGGGAAUUCCGGGUGUAGUGGUGAAAUGCGUAGAGAUCCGGAGGAACACCAGUGGCGAAGGCGCUGUCCUGGGCCGCAACUGACGCUGAGACGCGAAAGCAUGGGGAGCGAACGGG